CCUACGGGAGGCAGCAGUGGGGAAUAUUGCGCAAUGGGCGCAAGCCUGACGCAGCGACGCCGCGUGCGGGAUGAAGGUCUUCGGAUCUUAAACCUGUGUUAGCAGGGAAGUACGGUCACUGUGCUAAUCAGCAGUGAAUUGACGGUACCUGCAAAGGAAGCACCGGCUAACUCCGUGCCAGCAGCCGCGGUAAUACGGAGGGUGCGAGCGUUAAUCGGAAUUACUGGGCGUAAAGGGCUCGUAGGCGGUAUUUCAAGUCAAGGGUGAAAUCCCGGGGCUCAACGUGGGAACUGCCUUUGAAACUGGAAAACUGGAGUGUGUGAGAGGAUAGUGGAAUUCAAGGUGUAGGAGUGAAAUCCGUAGAUAUCAGGAGGAACAUCAGUGGCGAAGGCGAGUAUCCGGCACAUAACUGACGCUGAGGAGCGAAAGCGUGGGUAGCAAACAGGAUUAGAUACCCGUGUAGUC
rnacentral:rRNA from 1 species